GAUGAGUUGCUGUUGCGAUGAUCUGAGAGCUCAUGAGAGCAAUUCUGUAUGGAUUCUGGUGUCUUGGUUGACAAAUGCUUGUCCAUGGACAUGAAGCAGUGCAGGAAUUCGUGAUCUGAAACUUGGAGCACUACUCAGGUAUGUUGGAAGUUGUUGGGUUGACUAUUUGGUUGGAGUACUGGUAGUUAAUCCAACCUGUCUGUCCUCGUGGAAUAGAAGUUAGAUUAGCUUCUGAACACCCAAGAAUUAAAAGGCUAGUAAGUUAUGUUUCUGAGUAUUUAGCUCACAAUUUCUAAGCUUAGACUGUGUAUAUAUAUACACAAAGGAUUUACAUCUGUUGCUUCUUUCAGAUUCCUGCACUAAAUCUUCAGGGAAAUUAGACCUGCAAAAAGGGAAUUCUCCAGCUGCAGUUCUUCCAUAUUGACCAGCACAAAGUACAUUACUCUGGUUCAUAGGUGCCAACAAUAACUCAGAUCAGAAGCUCUCCAUUCCUCUGGUUCCGAUGAAAGGAUUCAUGGAGGAACAUAAAAUGAAGUAAUUGUGUCAUUUAUGGCGAUCCCUGCCUUUUAAUGGUCUGAGCUCUCCAGAAAACUGGUAGAGACUACAGUGAAUUUUGCCUUCAAAUACUGCAUUACUAUAUUUUUGCCAUUUUACCCAAUAUUUCCUUUUUUGUGUGGUAAAUUUCUACCAAGAGUAUUAGUUUGUAGAUUUUAUUAAUGUCGCCAUGACUGCAAUAAAGGUAUUACUGAUAAUUAUACA
rnacentral:lncRNA from 1 species